rnacentral:pre_miRNA from 1 species
UUUGUACUCCCUCUGUCCAGAAAUACUUAUCAUCAAAAUGGAUAAAAGGAGAUGUAUCUAGAUGUAUUUUAGUUCUAGAUACAUCUCUUUUUAUCCAUUUUGAUGACAAGUAUUUUCGGACGGAGGGAGUAAUAA